GUGGAUUAGAUACCCUGGUAGUCCACGCUUUAAACGAUGAGGGCUGGGUGUUGGUUCCAUUUGGAAUCGGUGCCGAAGCAAACGCGUUAAGCCCUCCGCCUGGGGACUACGAUCGCAAGAUUAAAACUCAAAGGAAUAGACGGGGGCCCGCACAAGCAGCGGAGCGUGUGGUUCAAUUCGAUGCAACACGAAGAACCUUACCAGGGCUUGACAUGUAGGUGGUAGGGAAGGGAAACCGGACCGACCCGCAAGGGAACCUGCACAGGUGCUGCAUGGCCGUCGUCAACU
rnacentral:rRNA from 1 species